UACGAAGGGGGCUAGCGUUGUUCGGAUUUACUGGGCGUAAAGCGCACGUAGGCGGUUUGUUAAGUCAGAGGUGAAAUCCCGGGGCUCAACCUCGGAACUGCCUUUGAUACUGCAAAUCUCGAGUCCGAUAGAGGUGGGUGGAAUUCCUAGUGUAGAGGUGAAAUUCGUAGAUAUUAGGAAGAACACCGGUGGGCGAAGGCGGCCCACUGGAUCGGUACUGACGCUGGAGGUGACGAAAGGCGUGGGGAGCAAACAGG
rnacentral:rRNA from 1 species